UAAUUGGCUUGUAUCAUAAGAGCAGAGGAAGUCAAAUGCCUUCAGCUUUUAGCUUAGACACAUGCAAGAUUCUGGAAUGACUUCGUAGGUAAAAAUGUUUAAUAAACUGAAAGCAAAAAUCACCAAAAUAGUGCCAAGUUCAUCAGAGGGAAAAGUGAAUGAUGCUCCAACCUCUCCAAAACCUUCAUCUCCACCUCAGCCACCACCAGGGCAGGAAGAAAGUAAGAAGAAAACGGAAGAAAAUAAGGGCACAGGUAAUGCCCAGCCCCUGAAAGAAGACACAGAAAAUACUAACCAGCCUGAGCCAAAGCAACAAGAUGGAGCAAACCCAUCAGAAAAAGAACCUGAGCCCCCUCAGGCUGCCCAAUCAGCAGAACCUGCUGGGGCAACAACAAAGGAAGAGGUGCCUCCAGGGAAGGAGAAGGAAGAGACAGCAGAGUGAGUAUCAUUCAGUAUUGUUUAUUAUGAUUAUGAU
rnacentral:lncRNA from 1 species